AUUGAACGCUGGCGGCAGGCCUAACACAUGCAAGUCGAACGAGUGGCGGACGGGUGAGUAAUGUCUGGGAAACUGCCUGAUGGAGGGGGAUAACUACUGGAAACUGUAGAUAAUACCGCAUACCAUCGGAUUUGCCCAGAGGGGAUUAGCUAGUAGGUGGGGGAAAGGCUCACCUAGGCGACGAUCCCUAGCUGGUCUGAGAGGCUGACCAGCCACAUUGGAACUGGGACACGGUCAAGACUCCUACGGGAGGAAGCAGUGGGGAAGAUUGCAAAAGGGGCGCAAGCCGGAUGCAGCCAGGCCGCGUGUAUGAAGAAGGCCUUCGGGUUGUAAAGUACUUUCAGCGGGGAGGCGUUACCCGAAGAAGAAGCAACGGCUAACUCCGUGCCAGCAGCCGCGGUAAUAC
rnacentral:rRNA from 1 species